rnacentral:lncRNA from 1 species
GAAAAAUCAACACUGCAACGGGAGUCUAGAUGGGCUGGGAAGGAAAAUCACAUGAGACUUCGUUGGUGUCCUGGGAGGACAGGAUGAGCACUUCCACCCUCGAGUGCAUUUGUAUUUCAGGACUUCCAGUUGAGUGGUGUCCACAGCAGGUCACUGAGAUGUGAGCGUGGAGAGAGGAGCCUGCAUGACCAGACUAGAACUCAGGGAGCUGGCGCUUCUCAAAUUCCUGUUGAUCCAAAGCAAAUUCACCUCAGAAGGGGAGAGCGCACUUACUGCCAAGAGAAGACUGUGACUCACACCUCGAAUAGACCGUCUUUCUUUUUGCAAGGAGGAGGCCCGGAAGGAUGUCUCACUGGGAUCUCGGGGAGCACAUGAGACAGCAGAGGCACCCAGGAAGAGGUGGGAGAGUGGUGAAGUAAGACCAAUGAGAAGUACAUCGUAAUUCACUAUAGCAAAUGUUAACCAUUUCUGGAAAAGGGAAGUCCUGCCAACUAACUACUGGUGCAGCUGUUAAGCUGGGUUGGUGGAGGCCUGUAGCUGCUGCAAGGUGUUUGUGUUUUCAGGUUUCCUUCUACAGCAUGAGGGCCCCUACUUCCCUUUCUGGAUGCCCCUACACUUCAGUAACUCAAUAUGGAGGAGAUUUCUCUGCUCCCAAACACCAGCAGGAAGAGAGAAACUGUGAAGGCAGUCGGUCUGCAUCACAGUUGUUGUGGUCACCCCCGCACUGUGUCCCUGUCCACACCAUGCCACCCAUGAUGGCGUGGCAGCCACUUUUCACCUGCAAGGACACCGAUCGUAGAUGCGCAGCUGACCCUCUUAUCUCAGCUGACAUGGUUAAAAGUGAGAAUGGAUGGAUCCCGUGCAGGGAAGGCCCGUGACAUCAAACCCAACCCUCGCCCUCAAAGUGGAAUAAUCCGUACUCUCCAAAGGAGUCUCUGAUGGUGAUUUGAUCCGGACCUCACGGAUCCACACUUUGGCUUUUUAUCUGUUGUGUCCUCAUUUCUCAAACUUGGAAAUUUCCAUGCAAACAGAGCUGCAGAAGGAAAAAAAUGUGUUCCAGUUUGCCAGUAGAAAUACAAUGCAAGACACAUGAGUAAUCAUGUAUCUUCCAGGAGCUGUGCAUUAGAACUGUAAUAAGAAACAGGUGCUGUUUUAAAAAUACAUUUAAUUUAGCCCAGUAUGUCACAAAAAUACUAUAAGUUGAACAAGUACGUGUGUACAGUGUGUGUGUGUGUG